GCUCACUCUCUUUUUGUCAUAACU
rnacentral:siRNA from 1 species